UGUCAGUAUCAUAUUUCAGCGGUAUGUUAGCAUGAGCUCUACUUCAGCUUACGCACACACAGUAAGCUGAGAGUUUAGCAUGCUAACAAACCACAGCAUCACACGCUGAUAAGCAUGACAUCAGUUUCCCCAUCAUCUUCUUUAAUGGCCAGCGUAUUCCUUCCUCUGUUGUCGAGGGGGCGAGAGACGUAAAGUGAGACACACACACACACACAGAGAGAGAGAGAGAUUCUUGUUUGCGAUGGACAAGACCCAAGGAGUUUUUCUAGGAGCAGCCUAAGAGUCUCUGGUUCUGACCUCGGGAUGAGUGUGUGACCGACGGCUGACCCGAUGGCAAACCGAGCAUGAUGGCCGACAUGGAGUCUGGUGGCUGGCGAUGCGUGUGCUGUCUGAAUCCUCCCCUGUAAUUAUGUGCUGGCUAAGCUUGACCUUCAGGCAAUACUUCAUCCAAAAACAAUGUGAACGAGAAGAAAAAAUAAGAAACAAACCUAGAGUGGUCGGAUUAGCCUGAUGCUAACUGGAUAUGGUACAAUGUUCAUUCCACACUGUAAGAGUGUGGCAUUCAUUUCAGAAUGCUAACUAAUAAAAAGAACUGAAAAGGAUCACGUUAGCAUCAAGCUAAUUGGACAUGCACGAUCGCUAACAGAUAAUACAACACUGUAAAUGUUACUACAAAUGAGUUACUUAUAGAUUCUGUGGGAAAUGCUAGCAUAGUAAACACUGAAUAGCGUCUAAAUAGGAAUGAUUAGCUAGCACGAGCACAUUAGCAUCCUGCUAACUGGAUACAAAUAAACACUGAAUAAUUGCAGAAACUAGAGUUCAGCUUUAGCUGUUAAUUCAGCACCAUAAUAGUUCAUUUAACCUUUUAAUAAAAAAUACUAACACAGCAAAUAACGAAUGGAACUAAAUAGAUAUGAUCAGUUAGCACAAACACAUUAGCAUCAUGCUAAUCGGACACUGUAAGUGUUAGUCUAGCUACAACUGUUUAAAAACGAAUUGAAGACUAAAUGUAAAUUUUCAUUUAAAAUGUAAAAUGAUAAACCGCAUAUGAAGCUAAGCAGGACUGAUUAGCUAGGGAGAACGCAUUAGCAUCAUGCCUACCGGACACA
ensembl:lncRNA